rnacentral:tRNA from 1 species
GCCGGGGUGGCAGAGUGGACUAAUGCGCUGGCCUUGAGAGCCAGUGCCCCUGACGGGGCUCGUGGGUUCGAAUCCCACCCCCGGCG